GAGGAUAUAGCUCAGUGGUAGAGUGCGUGCUUAGUAUUCACAAGGUCCUGGGUUCAAUUCCCCAGUACCUCCA
rnacentral:tRNA from 1 species